GACGAACGCUGGCGGCGUGCCUAAUACAUGCAAGUCGAGCGGAACUGGGGGAGCUUGCUCCUUCCAGUUUAGCGGCGGACGGGUGAGUAACACGUGGGCAACCUGCCCUGCAGAUCGGGAUAACUCCGGGAAACCGGUGCUAAUACCGAAUAGUUUGGCGCCUCUCCUGAGGCGCCACGGAAAGACGGUUUCGGCUGUCACUGCAGGAUGGGCCCGCGGCGCAUUAGCUAGUUGGUGGGGUAACGGCCCACCAAGGCGACGAUGCGUAGCCGACCUGAGAGGGUGACCGGCCACACUGGGACUGAGACACGGCCCAGACUCCUACGGGAGGCAGCAGUAGGGAAUCUUCCGCAAUGGACGCAAGUCUGACGGAGCAACGCCGCGUGAGUGACGAAGGUUUUCGGAUCGUAAAACUCUGUUGUGAGGGAAGAACACGUACCAACUAACUAUUGGUACCUUGACGGUACCUCACCAGAAAGCCCCGGCUAACUUCGUGCCAGCAGCCGCGGUAA
rnacentral:rRNA from 1 species